rnacentral:lncRNA from 1 species
CUCUCGAUGAAUUUGACAUAUGCACAUGUAUGGUCGACCUAGUUCUAAACCGUACUAGUAUACUCAUACGGUACGUUUGAAGGUAUACUUACGCGUACGGUUCAAAUACUCAUAUUGUCUGGAACAUAUAUACAUGUAGCAUAGUUCAAAUAUUUUUUUUUAUACUUGUACUCAUCAUGGAUAAUACACAAUACAGAACCACAUCAGCGUAUAAUUUAUUCAAUCCAUCUUUUAUUCUGAAACAAAUUCAUUUUCCUUUUUGAAAACAAAACAAAUAUGCAAACCAAUGAGUGAUGGAAAUCUACUGAGCACCACAAAAUGCAUGAAUGUGUGGUAUUCUUUAUCAUUAUUUUGAUUUCAAACAAGAACAUGAUGGUUCAAAGUCUAUUUUUGAGAUUUACGGACCGUUUUGGCUGCUGUGGAGCCUAACAGACACCGAAUGGAAAUCUUACUUAUGUUUUAUAGAUAUUUGCAAAGGAAACUUAAAUGCCAAAUAUAUAGGCUCCAAAUUAU